rnacentral:rRNA from 1 species
UACGUAGGAUCCAAGCGUUGUCCGGAAUUACUGGGUGUAAAGGGUGCGCAGGCGGACUUGUGCGUCAGAGGUUAAAUGUCACCGCUCAACGGUGAACCUGCCUUUGAUACGGCGAGUCUUGAGUAUGAGAGAGGUAGGUAGAAUUCCUGGUGUAGCGGUGAAAUGCGUAGAUAUCAGGAGGAAUACCAGUGGCGAAGGCGGCCUACUGGCUCAUAACUGACGCUCAGGCACGAAAGCGUGGGUAGCGAACAGG